rnacentral:lncRNA from 1 species
CAUGUUAGAAACCUACAGGAAUGUACACAGCCAGUUGGAAGAUUGCCGUUUGUAAAACUUGGAGCUGAUAGGAGUUUCAGGAAUCGGAGCUAUCUAUCAGUUGAACUCUUCACCGAUGACAACAGUAAUGACAAGAGCACCUGGAAGUCCUGUUCUCCAAGAGAAGUGUUGGAUUAAGAAAUGUACAGGCUCAUCAAACAAAGACAGAAUUCUGGCUACCAUUUGGACCUCACAAGAUAUUUUUGGAAAGAAAUCCUGGAACUGUGAGUGGAAAAAGGACAAUCUAAGAGCAAAACCCAUCAAUGAAAACCAAAUCCACAAGCACGUUUGAUUCUGAAA